UGAAAAGCAAAGGGCUGUUGCCUCUCCCAGCCUUGGAACAUAACAUCCUGUGCUGUGUGCUUCCAAAUUGCUUCUUGAGCCAGAAGCAGGAUCCCUGUUGCAAUCCCUCCUCCCAUUGCAGUUUGCUUGUGUGAUGGAUGUGGGACCAUCAGUCAACUGUUUCCUGAUCAACAGAGGACCAGACCCCCACCAGUCACAGCUGCUGCUGCCUGGUUGGGUUGGCUUCAGAGCAAGAAGAGUUGGAUGAAAGGCAGAGAUUUUGGCUUCAGUGUCUGGCUCAGACAUCACUCACAGCCGGAAUGAAAAGCUGGAAACAAAACAUCAGGAAGAGCACAUCUGUGGAACAUGCUUGCUAAAUACUGCAUGGGGUCAGGGCAUUGACUGAGCAUGCUGCCUUUAUAAGAAGGUCACAUCGCCCAGUCUAGUUGCUGAAAGUAACUUCAGUUCUACUCUUGAUGGCUCAGCUGUCAUAAGUGUGUUCAUUGGAUUUAUCACUCUUGGAUUGCCUAAGGACUCUGGUAUUGUGACUCCCUUCUGAUUUCUGAUUUACAGUUUUCUCAACCUUGGACUCUUUGGAUACUAGAUACCUCUAGCUUGUUCAGACUCUGACUUUGGCUUUCUGAAUUCCUGUUCAAUGUUGAGAGCAGGACAUUAUCUGGCUUUGACAGUUGAAUCUCCUUUCGACACUGAUGAUGUAACAGCAUCCUCUAUGAUACCUGAGGGGCGGAAAGGUAGCUUUCUCAGGGCAGGCUGCACAGUCAUUUGAGAGAGGAGAAUGGCCCAGGAUUCUGGGCUCUGAAGGGCCCUCAGAGGCCAUGGAACCAUCCCCCUCAGCAGCAGUCCAAAGGGGUGAGAGGUGGCCAAAGGGGGUCACUGUACCAGGUGACACUGAAGAUUGGAAUGUCACUGGUGCUUGUAUUGCUGGCCAUGGAUGGUCCAUCAAAAGGCUGAUGUGGAACCUCAUGCUACCUGCUGCUUUCCUAAUAGGCACAUGAGGUUCUGGAUAACGUUCCCAGAAUAGACCUGAUACAGUAUGAGGUCCAGCAGUGUUAUUCUUCCCUAAUCCGCUCCCCCCAUCUUGGAGGUUUUUUUUUUUUUUUUUGCUGCUAAUGGAUGCUUUUCUGUACUAGCAUUAGCCAAUAAGGAAGAAUUCCUGUGAUUUGAUAGGUAGUGUGAUUUUCCGCAGCAAGAAAUUUGCCUGAGGGAAUCUUAGCAGCAAAAUGUCAUGUUUCAUAUGACCAAAGAUCUGCCUGAAGAUGUAUGCUUGCUUUCUAUAAUGUGCUGCACCAUCUAUAUGUGCUAUUUUUUAAUGGUCGUGCUUUUAGUAGAUUUUAAUUCAAUCUAUAGUGUUAAAAGCAAUUUUAAAACAUGCACAUUAAAAUAAAUAAAUAAAAAUAAUACAUAAGUGGCUAUUC